rnacentral:rRNA from 1 species
AACGAACGCUGGCGGCAGGCCUAACACAUGCCAGUCGAGCGAGGACUUCGGUUCUAGCGGCGGACGGGUGAGUAACGCGUGGGAAUGUGCCCUUCUCUACGGAAUAGCCCUGGGAAACUGGGAGUAAUACCGUAUACGCCCUAUUGGGGAAAGAUUUAUCGGAGAAGGAUCAGCCCGCGUUGGAUUAGGUAGUUGGUGGGGUAAUGGCCUACCAAGCCGACGAUCCAUAGCUGGUUUGAGAGGAUGAUCAGCCACACUGGGACUGAGACACGGCCCAGACUCCUACGGGAGGCAGCAGUGGGGAAUCUUAGACAGUGGGGGCAACCCUGAUCUAGCCAUGCCGCGUGAGUGAUGAAGGCCUUAGGGUUGUAAAGCUCUUUCAGCUGGGAAGAUAAUGACGGUACCAGCAGAAGAAGCCCCGGCUAACUCCGUG